CAAAAAGUUAAAAUUAGAAUUAUUGAUCAUAGAUUCAAGCAGGAUCAAGAUAAAUUAGUACAUUUUAUUAAACCAUGUUGCCGUAAUAAAGUUGCAAGAAUCCCUUAAAUUUAUCACCAGUUAUAUCUCUGUUAUGCAGAGUCCAGCUAGGGUCUAGACUUCAAAGUAAUUGAUCAAGAUGAUUUUGAUAUGGUUGAAUGUUAUAGAUGUCUGGAUUGUCUUAUUAGAAGACAAACAUAACACUGCAUGGCUUUUUUACUUCUAUAUUUUGCAUUUUCUUCAAUCAUACUAAGAUGAUUUUGUUUUUAAUGAAACCUAGGAAUGUUUACUGUUUAGAUUAUUCAUGUCAUAAAUAAUUACUCUCUAGUAGGUUGCUGUAUUAAACUACAGGGACACAGUUAAUAUGAUUCUUGUUUUUAGGUUUCUUAAUCGUAGUAGCAACAAUACAGUGGACACAUGUCGAUUCCAUAAACACAUUCUUGCUGGUGUCAACUAAAACACUGAUUUGUGGUGAUAACAUUCUGAUUUAUGUCCUUGUCAUAAAAUAACUAUUUACAGAGAGAAAUUUCACCCAAAAUCACCAGCAUUCACCAGCAAUAGUGAUUUUUAACUGAAUCACCUUGUGAGCUAUGUUAGCUGUUCAUGCUUUUACAUGUAAUUGUGUCUUUUUGGAGGGUAGUCAUCUUGUGAUUCUAUACAUGUAGUGUAUUUGUUUCAUUCCAUUGAAAUCAUAUCUAUGCAAUUUAAAAUGGUUGAUUUGUGUAUUGAUUAUAAUUUUCUAUAGAUUAACUAAAUGGCUUGAUGGUCUCACUAUUUAAAAUAUGUCAUAAUUCAUAGGAGGAGGUAUGGAAAAAACAUUAUUUAGCUUCUUUGGUCAAAACAGUAAAUGAUUUCUUUUUCAAAUUUUUCAUAAAAAUUGAUACUUUAAUUAAUGUAUGGAUGGUAUACACUUAUUCUGGUUAUUUGAGUGCAUGAAUGUAAUUUCUGGCACUCUGCUGUAAUUUAAUAUUGUUAUAACAUAACUGACAUAUUUGACACAAAAAAAAGGCAACUUUACUAAAUUUCUCGGCAAAAUUAGAAAAUAGUAAUGAUAGUUAUUUACAAGAAGAUGUUCUACAUCUUUAUUUGUAUAAGACAUCUUGUGUCAAAAAAUCACACAAAUUUUUGUGCUUUGUGAUUUUUUUAUUUACA
rnacentral:lncRNA from 1 species